rnacentral:rRNA from 1 species
UACGUAGGGGGCAAGCGUUGUCCGGAAUCAUUGGGCGUAAAGCGCGUGUAGGCGGUCCGAUAAGUCGGUUGUGAAAGUCAAGGGCUCAACCCUUGAAUGCCGACCGAUACUGUCGGGCUAGAGUCCGGAAGAGGUGAGUGGAAUUCCAGGUGUAGCGGUGAAAUGCGUAGAUAUCUGGAGGAACACCGGUGGCGAAGGCGGCAUCCUGGACCGACACUGACACUGAGGAGCGAAAGCCAGGGGAGCAAACGGG